UACGGGGGGAGCAAGCGUUGUUCGGAUUCACUGGGUUUAAAGGGUGCGUAGGUGGGCAGGUAAGUCAGUGGUGAAAUCUCUGGGCUUAACUCAGAAACUGCCAUUGAUACUAUCUGUCUUGAAUACCGUGGAGGUCAGCGGAAUAUGUCAUGUAGCGGUGAAAUGCUUAGAUAUGACAUAGAACACCAAUUGCGAAGGCAGCUGGCUACACGAAUAUUGACACUGAUGCACGAAAGCGUGGGGAUCAAACAGG
rnacentral:rRNA from 1 species